rnacentral:rRNA from 1 species
AAGAAACACCCCCUCGUGAGGGGGCUUGACGGUACCGUAAGAAUAAGGAUCGGCUAACUCCGUGCCAGCAGCCGCGGUAAUACGGAGGAUCCAAGCGUUAUCCGGAAUCAUUGGGUUUAAAGGGUCCGUAGGUGGGCCGUUAAGUCAGAGGUGAAAUCCUGCAGCUCAACUGUAGAAUUGCCUUUGAUACUGGCGGCCUUGAAUUACUGUGAAGUGGUUAGAAUAUGUGGUGUAGCGGUGAAAUGCAUAGAUAUCACAUAGAAUACCGAUUGCGAAGGCAGAUCACUAACAGUAUAUUGACACUGAUGGACGAAAGCGUGGGGAGCGAACAGGAUUA